UUACACAUGCAAGUCGAACGGUAACAGGGUGCUUGCACCGCUGACGAGUGGCGAACGGGUGAGUAAUGCGUCGGAACGUGCCGAGUAGUGGGGGAUAACGCAGCGAAAGUUGUGCUAAUACCGCAUACGUACUGAGGUAGAAAGUGGGGGACCUUCGGGCCUCACGCUAUUCGAGCGGCCGACGUCUGAUUAGCUAGUAGGUGAGGUAAAGGCUCACCUAGGCGACGAUCAGUAGCGGGUCUGAGAGGAUGAUCCGCCACACUGGGACUGAGACACGGCCCAGACUCCUACGGGAGGCAGCAGUGGGGAAUUUUGGACAAUGGGCGAAAGCCUGAUCCAGCCAUGCCGCGUGUCUGAAGAAGGCCUUCGGGUUGUAAAGGACUUUUGUCAGGGAGGAAAUCCCUAGUGCUAAUACCNCUGGGGGAUGACAGUACCUGAAGAAUAAGCACCGGCUAACUACGUGCCAGCAGC
rnacentral:rRNA from 1 species